rnacentral:rRNA from 1 species
GAUUCUGGCUCAGGAUGAACGCUGGCGGCGUGCUUAAUACAUGCAAGUCGAACGAAGAUAUUUCGCUGAUGCGAUUCGUCAAAUCUUGAAAUAUCUUAGUGGCGGACGGGUGAGUAACGCGUGGGUAACCUGCCUUACACAGGGGGAUAACAGUUAGAAAUGACUGCUAAUACCGCAUAAGCGCACGGUAUCGCAUGAUACAGUGUGAAAAAGAUUUAUCGGUGUAAGAUGGACCCGCGUCUGAUUAGCUAGUUGGUGAGGUAACGGCCCACCAAGGCGACGAUCAGUAGCCGGCCUGAGAGGGUGAACGGCCACAUUGGGACUGAGACACGGCCCAAACUCCUACGGGAGGCAGCAGUAGGGAAUAUUGGACAAUGGGGGCAACCCUGAUCCAAGCGACGCCGCGUGAGUGAAGAAGUAUUUCGGUACGUAAAGCUCUAUCAGCAGGGAAGAAAAUGACGGUACCUGACUAAGAAGCACCGGCUAAAUACGUGCCAGCCGCUGC